rnacentral:lncRNA from 10 species
AUAAAAACCAACCUUAUAAAACUAGGAGUACAAUCAGCCCUCUAUACCUGUUGGUUCCACAUCUGCGCAUUCAACCAACCACAGAUCAAAAAUAUUCAAAAAAUAAAAGAUAAUACAAAUUUUUAAAUGCAGUAUAACAACUAUUUAUAUAGCAACCUAAUGAAGAGAAUCUGUAAUAAACCUACAACUAACAUCAUUCUCUCUUUUUUUUCUUUUUUCAAGACAGGUCUUGCUCUGUUGCCCAGGUUGGAGUAAAAUGGUACAAUCACAGUUCACUGCAGCCUCGACCUCUCCAGUUCAAGUGAUCCUCCUGACUCUGCCUUCUGAGUGGCUGAGACUAUAGGCAUGCAUCAUUAUGCCUGGCUUUUUAAAAAACUUUUUGUAAAGAUGGGGUCUCCCUAUGUUGCCCAGGCUGAUCUUGAACACCUGGGCUCAAGGGAUCCUCCUGCCUUGGCAUCCCAAAGUAUUGAGAUUACAGGCAUGAGCCACCAUGCCUGGUCCUAACAUCAUUUUUUGGAUACUGCGCUUACUUCCUAAGAUCAAGAACAAGGGGGAAAAAAACCAUCUUUUCGAAGAUUAAAGAAUUUUUCUGUGGCACCGCAGAGCUGAGGAGCGAUUGGACACUGAAUGAGGGGUAUAGUGAAUCUGGCUCCGAGAGAAGCCCUCUAAAUGGAAUAGCAGAAAGGAGAUGUGUGUAUGAGUUCUGCAGAAGUCCACCAAAUGUGGGCCAGGGUUAUUUCCCUGGUGAUGCUCUGAAGCUUUUGCCAAAGGACAAAUGGAAACAGGAAGUACAAUCAUGCACUGGGGUAAAGAAGAUUCAUCUGCUCUUAGCUACCUACCAUGCCAACACUCCUGAGAAAGCUCACAGAGGCCCAUGAUGCCCACCUGGAUCUGAGGACCUAGAAAGCCACAACAGGCAACCAUAAUCUGGGUCUUCCCUCAGCCAACUCCCCUGCAUAAAGUGAAUGAAUGAAAAACCCAUCUUAUAUUAAUCAGAGUUCUCUAGAGAAAAAGAACCAAUCAGAUGUGUAUAUAUAGAAAGAGAGAAUUAUUUUAGGGAAUUAGCUCACAUCAUUAUGCAGGCUGGUCAAUCAAAAAUCUGUGGAGUGGGCUAGCAGGCUGGAGACCCAGGGAAAGGCUAAAUUGCAGUUUAGAUCAGAAGGUCAUCUACUGGCAGAAUUCCCUCAUCUUCCAGGAAGGUGGAUCUUUUUCUACCAAGGCCUUCAGUUUAUUAGAUUAGGCCCAUGAACAUGCUGGAGGGUAAUCUGCUUUACUCAAUACAUACUGAUUUGAAUGUUAGUAUCAUCAAAAAGACCUUCACAGAAACAUCUAAAAUAAUGUUUGACCAAAUGUCUGCAUACCAUGGCCAAGCCAAGUUUACACAUAAAAUUAAUUAUCACACAUCCCACGAACACCAUCCCCAACAGAUGCUCAUGAGCAUUGUGGUUAUGAUUUCAACUUCAGAAUAAGGCAGAAAUGUGUACAAAUCCUGACCCUUUGACUUAUCAGCUCUCUAAAAAUCAUUAUAUGUCAACUUUCUAGACUUUACCUGAAAAACAGAAACCAAGAUACCCACAGCAUAAGAUUGUUAGGAUUGAAGAAAUUGUUACGAUUGUUAGGUAUGAAGAAAUUUAAACAAUGAUGCAGCUGAGAUAUUUAGAAUUGUACCUGGCAUGUACUUUGUAUUAAAUAACUAAUAAGGCCUUUUUCUGGUGAAAACAAAAUAAGCCUGGAUAAAAGAAGAUGAGACCAGAUUGGUUGAUGGCUCGGCCUGGGUGGGCUCCUGGCCCAUCUGAAAUUACAUUACUCUUAUGUAGUGCCUUUUUUGUUAUUGCUAAAAUAAAAUAAAUAAAACACUCUACUUUCAUACUUUGUAAAAUGCACUUCUCAUUCAGUUCCUCUUCCUGUGCCUUUUCCCUAUUGUCUAUCUGCACACAGCUGUUUUCUUCUGCACAUUUUCAUCACAGAGAAUUACCAGGUGUAGGUCAAAAGAUGCCACAGAGAUAACAAAGGAAAGGAAAAGCUUUUCUGCACUUCUAUCCUUGUAAGCACAAAAAUUAAUCACACUUUCAGUAAACAGGUCAGGUAAGUCAGUCCUGCACUUGAACCUUUUCUCCCCAAAUAAAUAGUUGAAAUGGGAAUGUCGAUUUCUGUAUUUGAACAGAAAUGUAUUAGUGUAGCUUUCAAAAGAAGACUACUCUCUCCAUAUGAAUAUCAUCAGACCCACAAAUACACAUAUGCAUACAUUCACAGUUCAUCCUAACGCUGCAGAAUAUUCUAAGAGUAACACAUUUCUGUACAAAUCAAGCAGCAGCUUUCACUUGCAUGCUAAUCUUCAAAUUAAUUCUGCAAUGAUCCAUUCAUUCCACAUCCCAACCUACAUCCUCAGAAAAACAAAGAUGUAAGUAAGGAACUCAGUAUAACAUGUUUGACUUUAGACACUACUCAAAUAUACUCAAACUUUAUAUGAAUAUGGAUAUUGCUCCUAGAUUAGGCAGUUCAGAAAACAAAUCUUGAUUAUUCUUAGUUACAAUGUAGUAUAAAAUAACAACAAUUUCAUGUCAACAACAGAAUCUCCUAAAAGAUCUUAUAAAGAUAAAAAGUCUUAGGUGUUAGUCGUCAAAGACUAAGUUGUAAAUGUAUCAUUGUAUUUGUGUAGUUAAUAAAACCCUAGACAAGAUAUGGGUUCCAGUUCUUGAACCACCACCACCUGUUCACCUUAAAUAAGUCAACUAAC